UCAUGCCAGUUUUGAAGAAUUUUCUUCUAAUCUUAGUUGAUUGGAAUUAGAUUAUUCAACCGUUACAAGGUUUAAAUUAUCCUAUAUGGUUAUCAGUGUAUAUAUAUUUCAUGAAUUCCACGUAGGACUGUUUAAAAAAUUCAGCUCGGAUGAACAAUCUUAAUUCUACGUACGUAUGGUAUAUAUGAAGGAUAAAAUAUUAUAUAUAUUGUAUCAUAUGCGCGCAAUAUAUGACUAUUUUUGUUAAACAUAAAUCAAGAAUAUUCAUCCCAAGAAUUUUGUUUUUCCUUCUUUUUUUGGACUAAAGAAAUGCUAAUAUAUUUAUAUUUGGACGAAAAACGGAUAUAUGGUAAGCCAAUAAGAGAAUUUCUUACCAUGAUUCUCAGAAGCUUUAUUUCCUUAAUUUCUGAUCUCCAAUUUGAAAGAAAAUACUAGCCGUUGGAAAAUCUCUCCAGAGUCUCUACUUUCUGUUCUUGUUUUGUACUUUGAAUUAUAAUAAUUAAUAGUUGUCUGUCUCUGGUA